rnacentral:rRNA from 1 species
AGCGGCGGACGGGUGAGUAACGCGUGGGUAACCUGCCUCAUACAGGGGGAUAACAGUUAGAAAUGACUGCUAAUACCGCAUAAGACCACAGCACCGCAUGGUGCGGGGGUAAAAACUCCGGUGGUAUGAGAUGGACCCGCGUCUGAUUAGCUAGUUGGUAAGGUAACGGCUUACCAAGGCGACGAUCAGUAGCCGCCUGAGAGGGUGACCGGCCACAUUGGGACUGAGACACGGCCCAA